ensembl:lncRNA
AUGCCCUCCCUUAGCCUGGGUUUCCUGCUGAGUGUGGAAGAAUGUUUGGAUGCCAGGUCCGAGCGGGGUUUCGGGGCAGUGUGUCCCUGGGCAAGAAGCUUCUGUCGCUGGAGGAGCCGAUGGGCCUCCUGGGGGACAUGUUGCCAUUUGUGGUGGACGGACCAGCCCUCUCUCAGCUGGCCCUGUUUGACGGCGAGGACGAGGCCUCCGUGCAGAGCGGGCAGCAUUUCCAGCUGGGGGAGGAGCUGCUGGUGGAACUGGACCAGGCCACCUGAGGUGGUGGCCCCCUCUGCUGCUGCCGCCGCCGCAAAACCUUCACGCCACACUCCUUCUCCGCAGAUGGGACGAAAGCAGAACCAAACCCCACCCAAAAUCACCCAUGAGAGGCAGAGGAGGGGAGGGGGCCCUCCUUUCCCUCCCCUCCUCCUCUUCCAACCGCCCCACCCCACCCAAACGCCCUCCUCUCUCUCUCUCUCUUUACCUCCUCCCACCCCCAAAUCUCCGCCGGCGUCCUUUGAACUCUUCCUACCUCAGUCCUGUCCUCAUCGGGCAGCCUCUCCCCUCCGGAGAUGGCGAGGGAGAAAGGCUUAGCCUAAUUUAGGAGCCUGCGUUCAUAGGGACUGUCCCACCCCCCCACUACAAACCAGCUCCCCCUCCCCAAAUAUUGGUGCUUAUGUAUCCUCUUUUCCUGAGAUGGGAAGCAGAAGUGGGGUGGAAGGAAAGGAGUUGGGGGGCCCAUAUUCACGCGGGAAGACUCCGUUCUGUCAAAUCCCCCAAAUUGAGAGGAGAGUCGGGGCGAAGGGAUGGUCAGGGGUUGGAGACGGGGGUGUCGCUCUCCCCUGAGAAAUGAGGGAGGCAGGGCGACGCCUGAAUGGGAAGGAAGCCGCCCCUCCGCUGUGACCCUCCUGCUGGCUUCCAUCACGAGUUCACCCAUUCCAGAAGGAACUGGGACCACCCAGGAGGCAAACUUUAGGGUUGGGCGGCACUGGGCUUGGUCUUGCACCGCCAAGACUUAGGGAGGGAGAGGCUGAAUCACUGUUCUUGCCUCUCUGACGUCCCAGAAUCCUUCAGGGGAGCCUCUUUGGCGACAGCGCCAUACUCAUUUACCUCCCCAUAGCUCUUGCCUUGUGAAUGAGAUCCGGGAGCACUUCUGGGGAAGAAAGUUUUGGGUGUUAUUCAAGCACCCCUGGCCCCCUUGUUCCCAGUCGUCCGGACUGGUUUUUUCCCCCGGAAGUGGCCCAAAACUUAAAAGAGAUGGAAAUGGAUUUCUCCCAGAGGAGAGGAAGGGAACCACGGUGCUCUGGCCGAAUUUUUUGACCCGCUUUUACGGUCUGUUUACGCUUAUAAAAAGAGGCCGAAAUGUUUCUGGUGGUCAAGCGACCACAAGUUUUAAAAGGUCUAAAAACGUAUUGUACAGGGAGCAGAGAAAUAUUUUCUUCUUAAAAACAAACAAAAAACCUUUUUUUUUUUUCAAAAAAGAGAUGGGAUUCUAUAUCUUGCUCCUGCCUCACCAGAUAUAUUUCUAAUUUUUAAUAAGUCCUUCCUCCUCCCCCCCCCCCCGCACUUUGUCACUACCUAGGGGUGGUUGGGUUGCUUUUUUGGGUGGGGGGAAGUUUCUUGAAUCCUAAAAAUGGGUGAGAUAUGUGCAGGCCACUCCCCUCCCCAUCCCCCACCCCACUCUCACAAACCUUGGCACCGAAAAAGGUAGGUUUUUAACCUCACAAUAGCCACAGGUAGCUGGGCAGUGGAUGGUUGAUUUCGAAAUUCUAAAAGGAAAGUUUAAGGAGCCUAGAUGUUGCUUUCACAAUCUUGAAACUUUUAAAGACAAUCUUUAGAAAGUUCCUCAAUUUGAAAUGGGGUGGGGAGGCUGACCUAUUUUUUAAAAAAUUAGGAUUGGGAACUCGCCACAAAGAUCACACUGGCUCUUAAACAAAGUAAAUUUGAACUGCAAUCAGCCUAAAUAUAGGUUGCCAGGAAAUGGCAUUUUUUGCCAAUAAGUUCUACUUAAAACAGGGUGGAAAAAGGACAUUUGAAAGAGGAAACCUCCCUCUUUCUCGUGUUUUUUUGCCCCUGAUCCUGAACGCGUUUACACGUUGAGACUUAACUUCUGAGUAGCUGUGUACAGGACUGAGAUUCCACCCUUCACUCUCGCUUUUUUAAAAAAACAGCCUGAUCUUGCACGUUUACUCAGAAGUAAGCCCCCAUGGUGCUCACUGGGCUUACUUUGCUUCUGGGUUAGCAUGCCUAGGAUUGUAGCUUAGUUGCAUCAUGCGCUGUCAGCAUGGAAAGGUUGGUCAUUCUUGGCUGCUGCGAAAAUAAAAUAAGGCAGAAGUUUUGUGGUAAGACUCGCAAAACCCCGUGACUUGAAGCGACGCAAACGCUCGCAUUCGCCACCAAUUUUCCCUGUUUUCGCGCUUAAAAAUGAGCUACUUUUCCAUUCUGCCCAAAGAGGAAGAGUUCUGCGUAACUCGAAACCUUGCAUAAUUCCUGCACUAGCAAACGUCGCCUAAGAUUGAAUUGCCUUACCUCUUUUAUACCCUUUUGGUAUAAAAGGCCACCGUAGUGUUAGCUGGCGCUCAUAGUAGGGUUGCUCUACAUUUUAGGAGGGAUGGGGCUUCCUCUGCCUCUUUAAUUAUUACCCAGAAAAGAGAAUAUUGGCAGGUGCAGCUUCUUCAACCCUUGACCGGUUGGGGAAGCCUCACUAGCUGGGAUUCCCCCCAUCGACACCAUUCUUAAAAUCACAGGAACCCUUUUCCCACAGGAAUGCUGGCGGCCGCCUAGUUGAAAGCCCGUGUGGUGGGAAAAUUUUCCCAGUAGUCUCCAAUUUAAAAACAAAAAACCUCUUUUCUCUUUUCCUUCUUUCUUUCUUUUUUCUUUUAAAAUCCCCCUGGCAAUUCAGUUGCUUAGCCCUUGACGCCGUUACUUUAACCACAACUUUUAGGAGUUUUGUGUCUGUUUUUUUUUUUUUUAAUUGGGUUUUAGACCCGGUCCCAAGCCAGGCUUAAUCACUGCAGCUCACUUCCCCGUCCCUGCAGUCCAGAGCCCUCGGAUGUGAAAACAGGAGCGUAGGAGACCGUUCAAGUCAGUGUUUCGCACGGCCGUCUGUGUCUGUACGUGUGUGUUUGUGUAUGCCAGCCUGGCUCACAGCCUGACUCAGCUGAGGGCGUAGCAGUUUUCCAGGGAGAGAGCCGCUCUCUCGACACCCCCACCCCCCAAAAAGCUUUCCCUUCUCUUUCUGCUGCAUGCCUCAUUCCUUCAAGAUCCCAGAGCAAAUCCUGGGAGCACACUCAGAGGUAGGAGUGGGCUGGAGGCCUACAGCAGGGGUCAGCAACCUAAGGUCCGUGGGCCACAAGCAGGCCCACGGGGAUCAUUUAACUGGCCCACGAACCGAGCCGCCCGCUCGGCGAGUCCCCGCGUGCUGCGCUAAACUGGCACACCACAUAGACUUGCUUUCACGGCGCUGGAAAUCACGUCUGCUCAUGCACAGACGCCGGAAAUCGCGUCUGCGCAGAUGCAGAUACUGAAAAUUGCGGGCGCGAUCCAGCCCAUGGAGGGAUCUCCGCUGGAGUAAACCAGCCCAGGCAAGGUAAACUUUGCCGACCCCUGCCCUACAGAGAGGGAAAGGAGAUUUGGGACAUAGCGGGUCCCCUGGGGUCAGCCUCUGCAUGCAGAUCUUUCACUGACCCACCCCAAGAAGAGGCGGAGGGGUAGGGGUUAAUUCAGAAAGUUUGAUUUAGACAGAGAAACUGGCAAGUAUUUGGCAGGGGCCCCUGCUUCCACCCCACUGGGUUGCAAGAACGCCUGCGAUGCCAGGAUCGGGACCCUUGUCACCGAGGCGGGUGGGGAGUCAAAAGAGUGCUCUCUCUCUCUCUCUUUCUCUCUCUUUUUCUUUUCUUGACGAGCCGCAUUGAGAAUUGCAGUCUGAGCGGGACGAAUAGCUGCCCUUGAAACCACUUUUGCCUCGUCCGCCAUUCACCUGUGCCUUCUCGUUACACCAGCACCAAAAAAAAGAGCGAGCGUUCGAUACGUAGAUAAACACACACAUCAUACGGGGGUGGGGAGAGGGAAGAAACAAAACACGCAACCCUCUCCGAUAUCUUCCGCGUUGGUGAGGGCAACCGUGAGUGGCACGGGGAGAAUGGGGGGUGGGGGGAAACGGGCUGCCGUUUUCCUCGGGUCUGCCCCCCACCCCUGCCCCCCCGAGCAAGGGGAAAGAGGCGAUUGGGGAGGAAACCGCCCCCUACACAACUGCCUCCCUGUUCCGAAACACCCCUUCUUCUCCCUGCGUACAAACCGCACGCCAACUUCCAAGCAGGGAGGUUGGCGUGGCAGUGGCAGGAGUGGAGAUCUGGGUAGGAGUUGCAGACGCAAGGCAUUGAGAUCUAACAACGCAGACUGUUCAAUUUCAUUGCGAGCAAAACGCACACACAGAGACACACACGCACACGUAUAUACAUAGAUAUCGCAUAUACACACACGUGUAGAGAGACACAAAACGCACCGAUACCUGCACACAAGCAUGCGCAAUCUCACAACGACGGGCCGCGUUUGGCCCAGGCAGCUCUUUUCUCCGAAAGCCGCAGUUGACCACACGCACAGAACAAUAGAAUUCCCAAGCCGGGUGAAGAACACAGGAUGUUGCGUCUAUCUUUUCUCCUUUUAAUUAUUGCGAUGGUUCUAAUUGUUGUUCUUCUGAUUCCUGACCCGUCGUCGUUUUCCCCUCCCUCCCUUAACCUGUUUUCGUUGUGUUCCUUUUUUCCAAGAGACUUUGGUGAAAUGACUAUGGCACCACCCUUUUUAUUAUGAUUAAUGUCGUCGUUCUGGUAGGGUUGUAGCUGUUUUUUUUAAUUUCCUCGUCCGCCCCCAAAGCCUGGCGCUGCGCCCUCUGCCCCCUCCUUUGAAUUUUAACAAGUCCUGCUACUUUUGUAGAGGGAAGGGGGGGAAAAAGAAAGGGGGGCAAGAGGGGUUGUGUCUCUUUCGUUCCUGUGACCAGCACUCGUUCCACAAAACCUCAAUCCCCAAUCCGCUGUCGUUUUCCUACAGGGCGGCUUCUCUCGCCCACUCAGUGGCAUUCCUGGCGCGGCAGACCCGGUCCACCCCCUUCUUCCCCCGGGGACGUGCCAUGCCGACCACGCAUGAGGUGCUAAACUAUACGCGCAAAAGCUGUGACGUCCCGUCCCCGGCGUCGGUUCUUUGAAGGCCACGCUGUGGCCGUGGUGCUCUCUCUUCACGCCUCCCUUCCACCUGCGAUGGCUGCAAGCCCGGCUCCUCCGCCCUCACUCAGCUCUCUGACCUCGUAUUGGCAACGGGUAGCCAUACCCAAUUGCCGUGGUGCUCAGCUCACUUCCUUGUCCCUCCGUCUGUGUCUCACG